CCUACGGGAGGCAGCAGUAGGGAAUCUUCCACAAUGGGCGAAAGCCUGAUGGAGCAACGCCGCGUGGGUGAAGAAGGUCUUCGGAUCGUAAAACCCUGUUGUUAGAGAAGAAAGUGCGUGAGAGUAACUGUUCACGUUUCGACGGUAUCUAACCAGAAAGCCACGGCUAACUACGUGCCAGCAGCCGCGGUAAGACGUAGGUGGCAAGCGUUAUCCGGGUUUAUUGGGCGUAAAGGGAACGCAGGCGGUCUUUUAAGUCUGAUGUGAAAGCCUUCGGCUUAACCGGCGUAGUGCAUUGGAAACUGGGGGACUUGAGUGCAGAAGAGGAGAGUGGAAGUCCAUGUGUAGCGGUGAAAUGCGUAGAUAUAAGGAAGAACACCAGUGGCGAAAGCGGCUCACUGGUCUGUAACUGACGCUGAGGUUCGAAAGCGUGGGGAGCAAACAGGAUUAGAUACCCCAGUAGUC
rnacentral:rRNA from 1 species